UACAGAGGGGGCAAGCGUUAUUCGGAAUUAUUGGGCGUAAAGGGCGCGUAGGCGGCAUGGCAAGUGGAAGGUGAAAUCCCUCGGCUCAACCGAGGAACGUCGAUCGAUACUGCUGUUCUUGAGGAUUGCAGAGGAGACUGGAAUUCCCGGUGUAGCGGUGAAAUGUGUAGAGAUCGGGAGGAACACCGGUGGCGAAGGCGGGUCUCUGGGCAAUUCCUGACGCUGAGGCGCGAAAGCGUGGGGAGCAAACGGG
rnacentral:rRNA from 1 species